GGGGCAACCCUGAUCCAGCCAUCCCGCGUGUGCGAUGAAGGCCUUCGGGUUGUAAAGCACUUUUGGCAGGAAAGAAACGGCCUUGGAUAAUACCUGAGGCAACUGACGGUACCUGCAGAAUAAGCACCGGCUAACUACGUGCCAGCAGCCGCGGUAAUACGUAGGGUGCAAGCGUUAAUCGGAAUUACUGGGCGUAAAGCGUGCGCAGGCGGUUCGGAAAGAAAGAUGUGAAAUCCCAGAGCUUAACUUUGGAACUGCAUUUUUAACUACCGGGCUAGAGUGUGUCAGAGGGAGGUGGAAUUCCGCGUGUAGCAGUGAAAUGCGUAGAGAUGCGGAGGAACACCGAUGGCGAAGGCAGCCUCCUGGGAUAACACUGACGCUCAUGCACGAAAGCGUGGGGAGCAAACAGGAUUAGAUACCCUGGUAGUCCACGCCCUAAACGAUGUCAACUAGCUGUUGGGGCCUUCGGGCCUUGGUAGCGCAGCUAACGCGUGAAGUUGACCGCCUGGG
rnacentral:rRNA from 1 species